GAUGAACGCUGGCGGCGUGCCUAAUACAUGCAAGUCGAGCGAACAGACGAGGAGCUUGCUCCUCUGACGUUAGCGGCGGACGGGUGAGUAACACGUGGAUAACCUACCUAUAAGACUGGGAUAACUUCGGGAAACCGGAGCUAAUACCGGAUAAUAUUUUGAACCGCAUGGUUCUAAAGUGAAAGAUGGUUUUGCUGUCACUUAUAGAUGGAUCCGCGCCGCAUUAGCUAGUUGGUAAGGUAACGGCUUACCAAGGCAACGAUACGUAGCCGACCUGAGAGGGUGAUCGGCCACACUGGAACUGAGACACGGUCCAGACUCCUACGGGAGGCAGCAGUAGGGAAUCUUCCGCAAUGGGCGAAAGCCUGACGGAGCAACGCCGCGUGAGUGAUGAAGGUCUUCGGAUCGUAAAACUCUGUUAUUAGGGAAGAACAAAUGUGUAAGUAACUGUGCACGUCUUGACGGUACCUAAUCAGAAAGCCGCGGCUAACUACGUG
rnacentral:rRNA from 1 species